rnacentral:misc_RNA from 1 species
UUCCGUAGUACAUGUGAAAAAAAAGUAAGUCUAUCUUUGUGGACAUAAUAAACAUUAUUAUUAUUAUUAUAUAAUUCAGAGAUGCUGCGUGAAAUAAAAUAAUUGAUUAAGUUGACAUUUCUGGGUCUAAAUUAAUGAACCCACGAAAUUGCUAAUGCUGUUUUAUAAGCCACACAAUGAAGACAACAAUUAUAAAGAGUGAAAUGUAGAUUACAUCUUCAUCUCCUUUCCUUCAAGUUCAGCUCACUUCCUAGUGAUUUUCUUGAUUUUCUAAAAGUUUGAAAUGAAAUGUCAACCAAACAAGCUGAAUUUAUUAUAAUUUUAUGAGAAUUUAAACCUCAUAAGUGAACUUCCAACCAAACAAAAUGUAAUUAUAUAAUACUAUAUUCAAAAGAUAGCAUUGAAUUUUAUUGAAUUUGCUUUUCAACCACUAAAUAAAUAAAUAACAUUCAUUCAAAGAUUAAUUCAAUUAGUAAGGAUUUAAUUUCUCCUACUCCUGGUUACACCAAACCGGUAUUUCUCCAUUACCUGCCUUAAAGCUUUCGUUUUAAUUUUUGGAGAAGCAAGGAUUUUGUAAUAAUGUAGGCUAGCCACCAUGACAUAGAUUUAAAAUUAUGAUUUACACUAAAAAUUAUCUCCAGGUAAUGCAGAUACUAAAAUGGAGAUAUCUUUGCUUUCAGGGAUUCUGAUGAGAAGUUUAAGAAAGCAGGAGCUGAGGUUGUUGGAAUCAGCGGUGAUGAUCCAUCAUCGGCUUAUCGCACAAGGUAACAGAAGAACGUAUUUUUCUUUCUUGGAGAAUGCUUAACGUUAAAAAUAUUUUCACAAUUUAGUUGGAUAUUAAUAACUCUUAAGAAUGAGAUAACAACUAUCUUUACCAGCCUUAGUUUUUGUAACCGUUCCUAAACUCCUACUCCUAGCAUUCUCCUAAGUCGUAGUGAAGUCCCCAACUGAGCUAAAGCUAGUCAAUUUGCACACCUAAAAUGUAAUACCUUCAUCCUUACUGAAAAUCAUUUUUCCUUUAUUUCCAGGACUGUAGAAUUUAGCCAAUUGGAGCAUCUAAAA